GAAAUGCGAUAAGUAGUGUGAAUUGCAGAAUUCAGUGAAUCAUCGAAUCUUUGAACGCACAUUGCGCCCUUUGGUAUUCCAAAGGGCAUGCCUGUUCGAGCGUCAUUUGUACCCUCAAGCUUUGCUUGGUGUUGGGCGUCUUGUCUCUAGCUUUGCUGGAGACUCGCCUUAAAGUAAUUGGCAGCCGGCCUACUGGUUUCGGAGCGCAGCACAAGUCGCACUCUCUAUCAGCAAAGGUCUAGCAUCCAUUAAGCCUUUUUUCAACUUUUGACCUCGGAUCAGGUAGGAAUACCCGCUGAACUUAAGC
rnacentral:misc_RNA from 1 species